rnacentral:rRNA from 1 species
UACAGAGGGUGCGAGCGUUGUCCGGAAUCACUGGGCGUAAAGGGCGCGUAGGUGGCGCCGCAAGUCCAUGGUGAAAGCUCGAUGCUCAACAUCGAGUCGGCCACGGAGACUGCGGGGCUCGAGCACUGUAGGGGCAGAUGGAAUUCCGGGUGUAGCGGUGGAAUGCGUAGAGAUCCGGAAGAACACCGGUGGCGAAGGCAGUCUGCUGGGGCAGUUGCUGACACUGAGGCGCGACAGCGUGGGGAGCAAACAGG